rnacentral:lncRNA from 1 species
CUAUCCACAAAAGACCAAAAUGACACAAACAUUAACAACUAUAGGUCACCGUACGGUCUUCAACAAUGAGCAAAGCCCAUACCGCAUGGUCAGCUAUAAAAGGCCCCGCUAAGACAAUGUAAAACAAUUCAAACGAGAAAAACUAACGGCCUUAUUUAUGUAAAAAAAUGAACGAAAAACAAAUAUGUAACACAUAAACAAACGACAACCACUGAAUCACAGGCUCCUGACUUGGGACAGGAACAUACAUAAAUAAUGUGGCGGGGUUAAACAUGUUAGCGGGAUCCCAACCCUCCCCCUAACCUGGGACAGUGUAUAACAGUACAACAUAAGAACGAACUAUAAAAAUCAGUUGAAAAAGGCUUAACUCAUCAGAUAGACAAAAAAUACAAGUGGACGUGGCCGGGUACUUAUACAUCCCGACACAAAAAGACACAAUGAACAGAUCUGAGAGUACUCGCAGUUAUCUGACAGCUAGUUCAAAGCCACUAACAACUAAUAAAAAAAUCAUGCCUCUAAGACUAA